rnacentral:rRNA from 1 species
ACGAACGCUGGCGGCAUGCCUAACACAUGCAAGUCGCACGAGACCUUCGGGUCUAGUGGCGCACGGGUGCGUAACGCGUGGGAACCUGCCCUUAGGUUCGGAAUAACUCCCCGAAAGGGGUGCUAAUACCGGAUAAUGUCUUCGGACCAAAGAUUUAUCGCCUUUGGAUGGGCCCGCGUUGGAUUAGCUAGUUGGUAGGGUAAAAGCCUACCAAGGCGACGAUCCAUAGCUGGUCUGAGAGGAGGAUAAGCCACACGGGGACUGAGACACGGCCCAGACUCUCGCGGAACGAGCGGGGGGAGAAUGGUGAAGAAGGGCCGAAGGCUUAAACCGCCAUUGCGCGGGGAGUGUGCGGGCCCUGGGGUUGAAAAGGUCUUUUGCCCGGGGGAAAAAAGCACGGUCCGGGGAAAAAAAGCCCCGACUAACUCCGUG